rnacentral:misc_RNA from 1 species
AAGUCGUAACAAGGUUUCCGUAGGUGAACCUGCGGAAGGAUCAUUACAGAGAAAUUGCCCUCCGGGGUAGAUCUUCCCACCCUUUGUUUAUAUUACCUUUGUUGCUUUGGCAGGCCCGUCUUAUGACCACUGGCCUAGGCUGGUCCGCGCCUGCCAGAGGACCCUAAACUCUUGAUUUUUAUAUUGUCCGAGUCACAAACAAAUAAGUUAAAACUUUCAACAACGGAUCUCUUGGUUCUG